UUACGACCAUAUCACGUUGAAACAUCGGUUCUCGUAUGAUCACCAAAGUUAAGCAAUGUCGGCCUGGUCAGUAUCUAGAUGGGUGACCGCUUGAGUAUACUAGGUGCUAUA
rnacentral:rRNA from 1 species